GUAUGCCUGUUCGAGCGUCAUUUCACCUCUCAAGCAUCAGCUUGGUAUUGGAUCUCAUCCGCAAGGAUGUUUCCGAAAAUUAGUGGCAGUCUGGGAACCUUCAAGCGCAGUGAAAAUUAUCGCUCUGAACUACUCUGGCUUGCCAAAAAACACAUCAACAUCUUGACCUCGGAUCAGGUAGGGAUACCCGCUGAACUUAA
rnacentral:misc_RNA from 1 species